UAAAAUUAAUCCACUCUGAGCAAGAAAGAGGUGCCCUAUCCACCGAAAAACAUAAUUGUAUUUUGCAAACUCUAAGCUCUCCUGAUUCAAAAAAGGAAUCCUCCACUAACUCACCAACAAGAGAGCUCUAUAAUCACAGUGACAUUCUGAAAGAAGACCUUGAAGCCUGUGGAACAGCUGUCCUUCACCAGCCUCCGAGACUCUUACCUGGAGGUGGCAGCCAUGAAAAGCAAGUCAGAUCUGAACAAGCGUCAGCCUCAGGCUUGUUGAGGGCACAGUUGGGUCAGCACAUGGCCACCUUGAAAGAACGUGAUAAUUCUAUCACAGAAGAGGUAGCUAAGAAGUCUGAAG